rnacentral:rRNA from 1 species
UUAAAACUUUCAACAAUGGAUCUCUUGGUUCCGGCAUCGAUGAAGAACGCAGCGAACUGCGAUAAGUAAUGUGAAUUGCAGAAUUCAGUGAAUCAUCGAGUCUUUGAACGCACAUUGCGCCCCCUGGCAUUCCGGGGGGCAUGCCUGUCCGAGCGUCAUU